rnacentral:sRNA from 1 species
CAGCAUAAAGGGGAGCCGAAGCUCCCCUUUAAAUCGUUGCACGUGCUCUUUCUUAUUAUUUUAGGGAGGUCUGUUGUUGUUUUUGGCAACCAUUCCCUUUCUGCGUUCUUCAGUGAUCCCCAUGCGGGAUUCAAGAGCAAACGUAUUUUUUUGAGCGCUAACACGCUUCGAUCCCAUGCCAGUGGCCAGGAUCCAACCCGUUCCGGACGCUACCUGAUGGUAGUU